rnacentral:misc_RNA from 1 species
GCAUUCCUCUUUGACAUAACCCACCCGUUGGUACAAGACACUACGGGCUGGGCAGUCGUAGAAAGAAAGCGAAUCGAGGGCAAAAAAGGAAUCAAUGAGAUCCCAUGCCCACAUCAGGUUCCGUAUCCAUGAUACCAACCAAUACUCAAUGUUCCACACCACCAACACAGACAUCGACGAUGUGGUCCAAAGAGCUGGCUACAGGGUCCAUCUUAUGCCAUGUAAAUGACAUAGUGAUGAAAGCAACUUUGAUCCGUCAAAACAAUACCUUCACUUAGGUAUGCAACACAGGAAACCAGCAACCCGAUUAGGCAAUACAAAGCCUAAACCGACAACUGAAGAGGUAUGACAGGUGGAAGUUGUU